rnacentral:rRNA from 1 species
GACGAACGCUGGCGGCGUGCUUAACACAUGCAAGUCGAACGGAAAGGCCCUGCUUUUGUGCGGUGCUCGAGUGGCGAAGGGGUGAGUAACACGUGAGUAACCUGCCCCUGACUUUGGGAUAACUUCAGGAAACUGGGGCUAAUACCGGAUAGGAGCUCCUGCUGCAUGGUGGGGGUUGGAAAGUUUCGGCGGUUGGGGAUGGACUCGCGGCUUAUCAGCUUGUUGGUGGGGUAGUGGCUUACCAAGGCUUUGACGGGUAGCCGACCUGGGAGGGGGACCGGCCCCACUAGACCUGGAAUGCGGCACAGACUCCUACCGGACGCAGGGGUGGAGAAGAUUGCCCAACGGGCGGAGGCCAGGUGCAGCGCCGCCGCGUGGGGGAAAUCGGCCUGGGGGUAGUAAAGCGCUUUUGUCUGUGACGAGGCGUGAGUGACGGUAACGGGUGAAGAAGCACCGGCUAACUACGUG